UGUGCAAGUGAAAGUGAUAAAAAGGUGCAUGUGUGCAAAUGAGACAAAAGUGAAAGUGUAAUGAUAGAGUGGAUUGAGAAUGCAUGAGCCUAGGGAAUUCAUGCAUAUUGGGUACGGGGAGACCUAAAUCGUGACUUGAUUUUCCCUUUGAUUAGAAGGCGAAACUAGCGUGCUAAGGCUAUCGAGUAGCCACACUCGCUCGUUUCCCUUAUCGGAAGGGGACACUCAAGCAAAUGGACCCUACAACUAUCAUGAUAUGCAAAAAUCCUAAAAUGAAGGGAAAGGGGGUUCGAGGAGCAUGCCAAGUGAUGAAACUAAGAAAAAUGCAUGAUAUGUGGUGAACAAGCAAAUGAUAUGCUAAUGAGGGGAAAUCCCUAAGGGUCUAGUAUUGGACUAGCCCAUUCUAUGAAUUCCGACUAGCGUUGGACUAGCGGAAACGUACAUUCAUCCAUUCCAUUCAUUCAUGGCUAUGAAAGCAAGUAGACAUGCCAAAAUACUCGUAAACACAUAGCACAUAGCACUUAGCAUGCUCGACUAGAUGCAAGAGCCUAUCAAAGCAAUUAAACAUGUAGCAACAAAAGCAAGCAACCAAGGGGAAGGGGAAAUGGACAGAUGCUCUCCGAGCCCUAUCUAUUACAAGCCAAGAGGUGUACACAUACCCCAUAAAAGCAUAAAGGGGAAAGGGAAAUGGACCAGAUGCUCUUCGAGCCCUAUCUAUUACAAGCCAAGAGGUGUACACAUACCCCAUAAAACUUAAAUAAAAGUAGAAAGCAAGUAAAUGCAUGCAAGGAGGUAAGGAAAGCGAAGUAGACAUGCAUAUUCACAUAACACGUAGGAGCACAUAAGGUCAAAUGUAGUGCAAAUGAGGGAUAGAGUGUACCUCCCUUGAAUUGACGCCCCAAUGAAGUGAAAUUACUUAUUUACCCUCCAAAAAUAAUAAAUGAGUCAAGGUACCAAUUUAUUUAUCAAAUAAUCAUAAAAAAUAAAAUGGCAAACUUGAAAUUGAAUCAAUUGAAUCAUGUAAGCAAACAACAUUCAAGAAGUCAAAAGAAGAAAGGAUUUGAUUGCAAAAAUAAACAAAGUUUUGGGGUCAAAAUUAAAGAAAAAUAAAGUUCAGGGACCUAUUUGCAAUUGAAGUAAGGACCGAAUUGAGAGAAGUUGAAAAUAUCCAGGGCCACAGUACAGUCAAGGAAAAAUUCAGGGACUGAUUUGCAAGAUCGUUUUCUGGUUUCUUAAUGGACCAAACCAUUGGGCCUUUGUAUUUAUUUCGUGGGCCAAGACUUAUCAAAUCCAAUAGAAAAUCCAAGGCAAAUGGAAUGGGCUAGCCCACUAUUCUGACCCCAAAAAUAAACCAACAAACUGGUGGGCUUUAAUGCUCCAGCCCAGGACGAACCCAAAUGAAAGAAAACCAAACCCAGUUCCAAGUAGCCCAAACAAAUAGCCGAACCCAAUUCCUCUUUUGUUUUACCAAAAACCCAACAAAGCUAAUAGGUCUAAUUUCAUUCCAAAAUCCAGGAUUAAUUAUUUUAAAAGUAUACCUAAAACAACAAAAAAAUAAUAAUAAUAAUUAAGCUCGAAAGGGGGUAAAAAUGAUUAUUUUGCAGAAGUUUUCGGGCCUUAGUGAAAUUACCCAAAGAUUUGGGGGUCAAACAUGAUUUGUUAAACAUUUUCAUGCAAGUUCACGAUGCAUCUUCUUCUUCUUUGUUGGGUUUCUUUCUGCUGUAAUUUCUACUGCAACUUAGCAGCCAUCUCCUCAAGAUUUUAAGCUCAAGUGCACGAUGCACAUAUACCCAGAUCAUCGACAAAGCCAACCCAACAUUAUGCAAUGAAUUCUGACAAGACAGAUUGCACAACAAAUGGACAGAUUACAGGCUUUGGAAGAAAAGAAAAACCGCAUGAACACUAGAAGAAGCAAGACCCAGGAACAAGAAAGCAAAUAAACGCGAGAUGAGUUAGGACAUCAUUUUGGGAUGGUACCUGAUGAAGACUUUUGUUGAAUCGAAAUCCAAAACAGGAAACGCGCGACGGAGCCGUUUUGGAGCUGAUUCGUUGCAGCUUUUGACAUGCAAUAGGAAGAUGGGAUCAACGACUUCAGGUCCAAAUCGAACGGAAAUCUCUCUCCGGAUGUCACAGAGUAUGUAGAAGUUAACGGCUUGGUGAAUGGUGCCCAAUCGAUGGAGAAAAUCUUCACUCAAGAAGGCUGGAUUAUCAGCCUUUUCCAAGGAAAAAACGCAGCCUGCAGUCUUCUUUCCGCUCUCGUUUCUUGCCGUUCUUCUUUUCCUCUGUUUUUCCUCAAGCUCUCAGACCUCCCUUUUCGUAGCCGAAGCCCCUCUGUCCGCCACCAGCUCUUCUUGUUUUCUCAGUUUCCUCUUGCUCAGCUGAACUCAGUUCUCUCUCUCGGUCUUGUUUUUGUCCAGCCCUCCUAGACCCUCAGCCGUCAUUCCCCUCUGUUUUUCCUUCUCUUCUCUCAAACCCCAGCUCUCUCUUUCUCCUUUCUGUUUUUGUUUUUCUUCAUCCGAGACCCCCCUCCCCGAUGAAGCUCUCUCUUUUGCGGCUGCCAUUCCUCUUGCUAUUUAUAUGGGAGCCUCUACCCUAAAACCUCAGCAAUCUCCUUCUAUAUUUGCAGCCAAAGGGCUCCUGAGCCCUUACUUGCAAGCUGCGAAAAGAAAAAAAAAAAAAACGCAGCUUGCCCGCGGCAUAUUCCCUUUUUUUUUUUUUUUUUUUUUUUCAACUUAAUAAUACAGAAAUGAUGAAAUAUAAAAAAUAAUUAUAAUAAUAAAUUGACAAAAACCAGGUAAUAAUAAUAAUAAUGAAAAUAAUUUAAAAACUAAACAACUAGAAACAACAAAAAUGGCCAUUUUUCCAUCUUUUUUCUACAUUUUUCUUUUUCAUAGUUUUUUCAUUUUUCACCUUUUCUCUUUUUUCUAAAUGAAUCAAACAACAAUAAAAGAUAAAUUAAGUAGAAAUGACUAAAAUAAAGCUAAAUAAAACAAAAUUGCUAUUUUUCUUUUCUUUUUCCUUUUUUUUUCCUUUUUUAUGAUUUUUCUCUUUUUUUUCAUUUCAAGAAAUUCUAUGCUAAAAACUUACAAAUAAAAAUAAAACUAUAAACUAAAAACUAAAAAUCGAAUAAAACUAACACGACAAAUAAAAAACUAAAAAUAAACAGUAAAUGAAAUUACACCAAAAAUUUGGUGUCUACAGUUUGCCCCUCUUUGUCUGAGUUUUGGAAAAACUUGAGACAAAGAAGUAGACACCAAAUACUUACCUACUUUAUUCGGCGGCGAACGUCACGAACGGUGGACGUUUUAAAAAUGGGGACUGACCCCUUUUGACGAAGUUUAAAGUGAAAUUGGCUUAGACGGGAAAUUAAAGCGGGACUGACCCGAACAAAAAAUUAAAACGGGACUGGCCCGAACAAGAAAUUUAAAACGGGACUGACCCGAACAGAAAUGUAAAUGGGAUAGACCCACGGGAUAGACCCGGACAGGAAUUUAAAUGGGAUAGACCCACGGGAUAGACCCGAACAGAAAUGUAAAUGGGAUAGACCCACGGGAUAGACCCGGACAGGAAUUUAAAUGGGAUAGACCCACGGGAUAGACCCGAACAGAAAUGUAAAAUUGGAUAAGACCAUGGGAUAGACCCGACAGAAAUUAAAAUUGGAUAGACCCACGGGAUUAGACCCAUGGGAUAGACCGGACAGAAUUUUAAAAUUGGGAUAGAACCACGGGAUAGCCCGGACGGAAAAUUAAAUUUGGGAAUAGACCGCACGGGUAGGGAAUAACCGGACAGGAAUUUAAAUGGGAUAGACCCACGGGAUAGACCCGAACAGAAAUGUAAAAUUGGGAUAGACCCACGGGAUAGACCCGGAUAGAAAUUUAAAAUUGGGAUAGACCCACGGGAUAGACCCGGACGGAAAUGUAAAUUUGGGAUAGACCCACGGGAUAGACCCGGACAGGAAUUUAAAUGGGAUAGACCCAGACAGAAAUUUAAAAUUAGAUGAAUUGAAGUGAGAUGGAGUGUUGGUGGGAUGAAAACACGCACAUUAGUGAGAUAGGCUCGAUGCUAACGGCGGUAGGAUGAAAACGCGCACGUUAGUAAGAUAGACUCGAUGCUAACGGCGGUAGGAUGAAACACGCACGUUAGUGAGAUAGACUCGAUGCUAACGACGGUAGAAUGAAACACGCACGUUAGUGAGAUAGACUCGAUGCUAACGGCGGUAGAAAUGAAACACGCACGUUAGUGAGAUAGACUCGAUGCUAACGGCGAUAGCAAUGAAACACGCACGUUAGUGAGAUAGACUCGAUGCUAACGGCGGUAGAAAUGAGACACGCACGUUAGUGAGAUAGACUCGAUGCUAACGGCGGCAGAAAUGAGACACGCACGUUAGUGAGAUAGACUCGAUGCUAACGGCGGUGGAAUGAAAACAUGCACGUUAGUGAGAUAGACUCGAUGCUAACGGCGGCAGAAAUGAAACACGCACGUUAGUGAGAUAGACUCGAUGCUAACGGCGGUGGAAUGAAAACAUGCACGUUAGUGAGAUAGACUCGAUGCUAACGGCAGUAGGAUGAAACGCACACGUUAGUGAGAUAGACUCGAUGCUAACGGCGGUAGAAUGAAAACACACACGUUAGUGAGAUAGACUCGAUGCUAACGGCGGUAGGAUGAAACGCACACGUUAGUGAGAUAAACUCGAUGCUAACGGUGGUAGAAUCAAAUAUAGUUGUCAAGAGUAGGGAAUGGAAGGGUGCGCGGCGGGCAUUGAAGUUUCGCCCACAAGAAAUCAAUUUUGAUUUUUUUCAAGAAACAAGAAUUUGAACUUGAUGUUUGACUUUUGAAUUUUUCUGAUUGAUUUUUUUUUUUUUUUUUUUGAGAGAGAGAAUUUUCCAAAAAUAAUUUGCCCCAAGUGUAGGGCCCUUUUCCUUUCUUUCUUCUCUUUCUUCGGCAUCGGCCUCCCACAUCACCAGAUGCUUUUCUGUCAUUUUGAACCAUGAAUUCCUGUACAAGGGGUUCAUCGAAGUAUGACAUGCAUUCAAAUUUCUUAUUUGGAAAGAACAGCGUGAUUGGUUUGAUAUCCUCAAACGUAUUAAAAAACUUUUGCCCCAAUAUGGAUUUAUUUCAUGAAAACUUUUGCCCCAAAUAAAAUUUUGCCCCAGUGUGGAUUUAUUUCAUGAAAUCUUACAAAUAAAAUUUUGCCCCAGUGUGGGUUCCCUUAUUUGCAAAAAUUCGUUCAGAUGAUUUCCCAUUUAUUUGAACAAAGAAAAGCCGCACUUUUGCCCAUUUAGAAAAGAAUGCACAUAUACAACAAUGUGAAGAAACUUUAAGCGUCAAGUUUGAACUCAUGCAGAAAUUUCAUGAUGAAUUCCUCGAAGUAACACCAAAUUCAAGAAGAUUUCUUCCUCACUUUUUAGCAUUGGUGUUAGGGUAACGGGUCACCACUUUUGGUUGGCUCAUCUUUUCAGAAUCAAUCAAGUGACUUUAUUUUUGAAAUGGCUAAGGAAAUGGGAGAUAAGAAUCUGUCUCAUUUUUGUGUCCCAGUUGUAUGUAAUCCAUUCAAUGUCACAUCUUAGUGAAAGCAAAGAGUUUGUUACCCUUAUUUUCAAGAAAACUUAGUCAACAAACAAGCUUUCUAGGCUUGUAACGUAUGGACAGAAGUGAUAGCUAAACAUGUGGAAACGGGUUAUGCCCUUAUGAUCACAAAUGAUUUGAUGAGUUUCUUAUGAGCAUGAUCCUCAUUUUGGAUUGUCAUGAAAGAAUAAGUCAACGAUGGACUUUCUUAGCUUGUAAUUUGGCUUGAAAACGAUAGUUUAAGACUUUCAAGGAUAUUGCACCAUAGAUCGCAUUUUUCCAAAAUUGCCCCUAUUUUGAAAUCAAAAGAUCUCAGACUUUGUUUGCAUUUUUCUCAUCACUCACCGGAGACUUCAGCGUCGAAUUUUCUGCAUUUUCUUGCACUUACUUUUCUUGCUUUGCUUUUUGCCUCUUUUCCCUUUCCCUCGAGCUGAUAGGUUUUCACAUGGUGAGUAGCGUCAACCUCAUACUCAAGCAAUUCAGAAAUACAGCUAAAAUUUUCCGGCAUCAGAAAUUUUCUUGACAGGGCCAUUGCAAAGAACAGAAGUCAGGACUUUCGGCUUUUGUAAUGGGGUCAGGUGGGGUGCUUAGAAAAGUUAAGGCCUGAAAACGGAUUUCAAAACUGGUUUGAAGAAUCUGAGAUCGCAUUGUUGCGCCAACCCUAUUUUAGGGUAAAAUCAGAAUUUGCCUCAGUUUUUGCUCAAUUGAGGCUUUUCACUUUCAUUUCCUUUUUCCUUUUGACUUUUCGGCCUUUUGCCAUUCUUUUGAACUUUCACAAAAUUUGCCCCAGUUUAUUUUGAACUGAGGUUCUCUUUUCUUCUUUUGUUUUUGAUUUUGUUGCUUUUCACUUUUUUUGAAAUUUUCUUUUCAACUCAAACUCGCCCCCAGUGUGGGGUUUGCGAUUCUCAGGGGUUGCCAAACGAAAUAAUUUAUUCUGAAGGCUCGAAAAGGAUAACUAGGGAUAAAGUGUUCGAUUGGAAAAGAAGAUGGCCUGACUUGUAUUCCAUUCCUUACAACAGCUCUGAAAGGAAACUUUCGUUAAUGCGAAAUUUUUUGCGUGUGUCUGAAUUAAUUGACUGAGGAAGACCCUUGCUCAUCCAUAUUUGUGAAACAUAGGCGAUUCACAUGGACAAAAACCCUUCCUUUUCUUUUUCAAACUUGGAACCCAAGUGGAAUCAAAUUUCCCCAAUUUGCAGUUCCCUCCUUAUUCUAGCAUUUUUGCUUUUUCCCUUUUUUCCUUUUUUCUUUUUUGUUUUUUUUUUGAAAAUUCUCCAAUCUCCCUCCCCAAUGUGGGGUACGACCAUGAGUGCAUUAGAAAAGAACCACCAAUUUUAGCUCAAAAUGGGGAUGCAAGGGGUGAUCAGUGUUUAGGUUGUAGAAACGACGGCCAAAGCAUCAUUCUUACACCUCAUGACAACCAAAGUAACGAAACGGUUAUUGAAAAUCCAUUCCCCUAUUUGAUAUUUGAAAAUUUUCCAAUAUAGGGUAGUGAUCAUUAGGGCUCUUAUCUGAAACGAAAUUAUUCUUUUCAUAGGCUCAAAUGGGAGAGCAAGUGAUAAAAAUCUGUAUAGAUAGUGAAACAAAUGCUCAAAGUAAAUUUUCAAAACAAACAAGAAUAAUGCACAUUUUUGCUUUCACUUAGAUGUGAAUUGAAUCGAUUAAACACAAUGGAUAUUUUCAAGCAAAGAUGGCCCCAAUUUGCAAUUUAUCAAUCAAUGUGACUGAUUUUAUUUUGGGGUUCAGUGAAGGAGAAAAGAUAUCUCAUUGGGCCUUCUGAAUGACCUCUUUUAAUUCUGAACACUCUUAUUGUGAAUUUUCAGGUCGGAGGUUGAAAAAAUCCCAAUUUAGUCUUAUUUCUUAAAAUUCAUCAUGCAAUCUCCAAUGAAUAAGAAUAAAGAAUGAAAUGUACAUAAAUAUACACAAAACAAUGAUUGUCCAAAAAAUUUAUUGCUGAAAAAGUUUGAAACAAAAUUUCUCAUUCAAUUACGAUACAAAUGAGAAGAGAGAAAAUUGUAAAGAGCUCCACAUAUACACUUUUUGUCUCCUUUUUCAAAUAUACAAAAUUUUCCUUUGGAAAACAAUUACAACAUUUCUCAGAGGGUUUUCAUCGUAGGACCCGCCCAAGAAUCAAAUAACACUUGUAAUCUUCAAACUUCAUUGGAUUAAAAUUAUCAUCAGAUAUAGAAGAAUAUUUCCGUCUUAUUGAAAUAUUUUUAUGAAUGCAAGGGAGGGGGGAAACAAAAGAAAAAUACCCCGAGUUAGUAGACAAAACUGCAAAAUCGGUAUGCAUGUCCUAUGGGGGGAACCCUUUUUAUGCCAAAGGUAGGCCUAGCAUGAAAAUGCAAUCCUCUAAGGUAGGCACCAUACCAUACCUGAUGGAUCUGAUCAACUCAUUGAGUGAGAAAUAAUUUUGACAAAUUUGGUCAAUUAGAGUGAGAAGAGACGUUUGUCAAAAUGAGGACAUCGUCCAAAGGGAUUGAUCACUUUUGAUCGAUACAAGAAUUUGCAAAAACGCACAGGUUUGACCUUGACGAACUUCCUAUCGAAGAGAUUGGAAUUCGUUGACCAAAUUUUUUCAGUGAAGCACGGGUCAAAACCCCAACUGAUCAAAUGGCUGGAUGCAAUAGAUGGUUUUCUCAAAAAUCGACAAAGUUUCCCAACUUGAAAUUGACAUUGAAACCCUAAUUGGUCAAAUGUGUUGAAUGAAGUUGAUCAUUUAUUUAAAUUGACCGAAUUACCCUAAAAAGGGAAAUGGGUCAAAUGAAUUGAGUGAAAUUUAAAAAUUUACUCAAAAUUGACCGAAUUAUCCUAAAAAAGGAAUUUGAUCGAUUGAAAUUGAGAAUUUUAUUCAAAACAGACCGGAUCGCCCUAAAAGGGUAAAUUGGUCAAAUGAAUGAAAUAGAAUUAGUGAUUUAUUCAAAAAUUGGCAGAAUGACCCUAAAAAGGGUAAAUUGGUCAAAUGAAUUGACGAUUUAUUCAAAAUUGACCGGAAGACCCUAAAAAGGUAAAUUGGUCAAAUGAAUUUGAAUGAAAUCAAAAAUUUAUUCAAAAUUGACCGGAUGACCCUAAAAGGGUAAAUUGGUCAAAUGAAUUUGAAUGAAAUCAAAAAUUUAUUCAAAAUUGACCGGAUGACCCUAAAAGGGUAAAUUGGUCAAACGACCCUAAAAAGGGUAAAUUGAUCAAAUAAAUUGACGAUUUAUUCAAAAUCGACCGGAUGACCCUAAAAAGGGUAAAUUGGUCAAAUGAAUUGAUGAUUUAUUCAAAAUUGACCGAAUGACCCUAAAAAGGGUAGAUUGGUCAAAUGAAUGAAAUGAAGUUAAUGAUUUACUCAAAAUUGAUUAUGAAUUGACAAAAAUGGAUCGAUUGAAUCGUCCAGCCAUUGGUGGCUUCAAAAAAUUAGUCUAUGAGCCUUCUAAAAUCACGAUUUGGCCUCAAUUUAUUUAUUGUCUCAACAGGAGGCAUUAUUUGUGAAUUUCUUCAAAUUAACGUCCUUUACGCAAGGGAUUUUUACCAAGUUUGAUAAAAUGGCCAAAAAGUGAUUAUUAGACGUUCAUAUUCCAAAAAUCACUCUAUGAAAAUAAUUGGAUCCUACCUUACCUUGUGCACUACCCCUUUGGAUGGUACAAAAUGUAAACGUGCAAGUCUCGUUGGAUUAAGUAUCCGAGACACAAGGUGGCUUAUUCCUAACACGGGAUCCCCUAAAUGGCAUUCCCUUUCUAAGGUUUAAUGCAUGAUGCCAGUUUAUUAAAGCGAUGUAAAUAUGUGACAAAUAUGGCCUAAAGGACAUGAAUAAUGCAUCGGGGGGAAAAGGUCUAAACAUGAAAUGUAUUCACUGAAAAGUAAGUGCAAAGACUGAAAUUUAAACAUGUGAGCUAUCUAGUGGGUGAGUCACUAAAAGAGUGCCCAAAAAGGCCUCUUAUCGCUAAGGCAUAUGAAUGCAAGCCAAGAAACAAAGAAAUGGUUAGUGCAAUUGAUAGUACACAUAACACAUUGGGAGCAAUUAAGAAAAGAAAUACAAUAAAGCGAGUAAAAGGGGUAGAACCCCUUCCCUCGUGCCUAAUGUGCCUAUAAAGGGUGAGGCCGACUCUACCCUAGGUUAUUCUAAUAUGGAUGCAUGAGGCUGGGGUUCACUAAUGCCUAGACUCGAUAAAGCUUCGGCUCCCAAGCCUUCAGACCUAAAGGCGAAGGGUCAUCACUCCCAGGGCCUUUGAUCGGUGGCUCGAGUGAUCCCUUAGGUAGCGCUAUGGGCGCAGAGCAUACCAGCCGCCUACCCAAGGCAAUCGAUCCUAAUCCUACAAGGCGGUGUGGGAUGGCGCCCACGAAAAUACAAAUAAAAUGGGAUAAAGCAAGUAAAUAUGCACGUAUGAAGUGUUCCCCUAAUUUGAGGGAAGGGGUUGAGAACCAUGCGAGGCUCUAAAGGUGACACACCCCCUCCCAAAUGCAAUGCAAGCGCGAGAUAAACAAGUAAACAACAUCCAAUCAACCAAUCACACAUACGUGAGUGAGGGAAAAGUUUGAUACGCGCGCGAUGCGAAAAAGUCCUAAAAUAAAAAAAUGCAACCCUAAUAUCCAAAUGCAAUGCAUAAAAAGGGUAGAAAAAGGAAACGAAUGGCUAAGUCAAAUGCUUGGACCCACUUAGGAAGUCCCCAGUGGAGUCGCCAACUGUCGCGCCCCACUUUUCGAUUCGAGUGAUGUGUGUGUGAAGUGUGGUGUGAACGUGUGCAAAAUGAAAAGUAAAAAGGCCAUGGGACUUUGGAAAGCGACGAUUUGGCCAAAUGAAAUUUUAAAAAGGGUUUUUAGAUAUGAAAACGGAGUCGCCACUUGGUAUAGAUUUGGGGUGUACCAAGUCACCCAAAAAAGUGUUUUUUAAAGACAAAGUAGUAAAACCCUUUUUAAAACGACUCCUAGUCCACGUAAGCCAAAGAAAAAGGUUCGGGGGUCACGUUUGACAAAGGGGAAGGCAAGGAUAGAAUCCAAGGCACCCCUUUGACCUAGCCAAGGCUAGUUGCGCGACUUCAAACCAAUUUUUCCUAAUUUUUCUACCCAAGGUAUGUAUCGCGUAUUGGAUAUGUCUAUAUGAAUGCAAAAACCUAGACCUAGGGGGAUUGGGGGAAAUUUCUCUUCAAAGGUUGAGUGGUGCCAAUCACAUUAAUUGUGAAGCCCAAUAAUGAUCCUUUUGGAGAGGUCACACCUAAACCUAAAUGACGUGAAAAAUGAGUGGAAUGCAUGCCAUGUGAAAGUGUGAGUUUGUGUGAAGUGAGAAAAAUGAUAAAAGUAAUAAGAUAAGAGUGAAGGUGUGCAAAUGUAGAUGAAAGUACUCGUGUGCGAGUGAAGAUAAAAAUGUUCGUGUGCAAGUGAAGAUAAAAGGGUUCGUGUGCAAGUGGAGAUAAAAAAGUGUUCGUGUGCAAGUGAAAGUGAUAAAAAGGUGCAUGUGUGCAAAUGAGACAAAAGUGAAAGUGUAAUGAUAGAGUGGAUUGAGAAUGCAUGAGCCUAGGGAAUUCAUGCAUAUUGGGUACGGGGAGACCUAAAUCGUGACUUGAUUUUCCCUUUGAUUAGAAGGCGAAACUAGCGUGCUAAGGCUAUCGAGUAGCCACACUCGCUCGUUUCCCUUAUCGGAAGGGGACACUCAAGCAAAUGGACCCUACAACUAUCAUGAUAUGCAAAAAUCCUAAAAUGAAGGGAAAGGGGGUUCGAGGAGCAUGCCAAGUGAUGAAACUAAGAAAAAUGCAUGAUAUGUGGUGAACAAGCAAAUGAUAUGCUAAUGAGGGGAAAUCCCUAAGGGUCUAGUAUUGGACUAGCCCAUUCUAUGAAUUCCGACUAGCGUUGGACUAGCGGAAACGUACAUUCAUCCAUUCCAUUCAUUCAUGGCUAUGAAAGCAAGUAGACAUGCCAAAAUACUCGUAAACACAUAGCACAUAGCACUUAGCAUGCUCGACUAGAUGCAAGAGCCUAUCAAAGCAAUUAAACAUGUAGCAACAAAAGCAAGCAACCAAGGGGAAGGGGAAAUGGACAGAUGCUCUCCGAGCCCUAUCUAUUACAAGCCAAGAGGUGUACACAUACCCCAUAAAAGCAUAAAGGGGAAAGGGAAAUGGACCAGAUGCUCUUCGAGCCCUAUCUAUUACAAGCCAAGAGGUGUACACAUACCCCAUAAA
rnacentral:lncRNA from 1 species